CCACAGGCAAGCAGUUCAUUGUGCUCCAUUAAGGAAGACUCAAUAAAAGGACUGUAAAGAAGCUCAUGCCACUAGGAUGAAUGAGAAGAAAAUACACCAGAAACAGAAAGCUCCUACCCUUGAAUGUACGAAGCCACCACUAGGAGCCGGGCAGAAGUCACUCUGAAAAGGUGGCUAUGACAAACGAGCAGAGGAAGAAAAUUGGCUCAUGAAUAAGGAAGUAGCCGCUAAAUCUGUGAGAUCCAUACCAGGCUUUGGAUGAGAGACUUGGAGAGUGUGUUUCAUCUUGAGAUUUCCAGAGCAAGAUCAGGCUGUGUUCAAAACGAGAAUGAAGUUUAGCCAGCUGUGCGUGUGCUUAAACAGAAGAUAAAGGUUCCUACGGGAACACAGAUUACCCCAGACAAAGCCACGGGCCACAAGUUGGACAUGGUUUUCAGCCUCUUCAUUUUUUGCUCCGCAAGAUAAGAUCCAGUAAAGACACCUAUAGAAAUCAACAAAAAUAGAGAAAACCCUUGGAGGGGUAAAUACCUAAUGCUGUCUACACUAUAGUCUGUGCAGAAGAUAUUUUAAGUGCGUUCUUACCCCACGACUUAACUUACCCAGACAUCCUCCAUAUUCCAGCUUAGCCUUAAAGACUUUGCUUUUAUGUCAAGCAGUCAAGUAUCUCUCUUUCCAGUGUGACCUUCGGUUCCAGUUUCCAAGAACCCCAGUUAAAUAUGGCACCAAAAAGUUUUUAAAUUUUGCUCUAAUUCUUUUGUCAGAUACUGUAUUAUGAAAAAUGUCAUUUCGGGUUUUUUUUUCCUUUGUUUUCAUUGUUGGGGGGCAGUGGUGGUGGUACUGAGGUGGGGGUCAACCCCAGCCCUUGUACAUUACUGAAUUAAAUCUCCAGCCUUUCCAGACCUUUCUUCUCAUUUCUUUGAUGCUGUGAUUCUUUUCCAUUGACAACACAGGUUUGUCUAUAAGGCACAAACUGUCCAGAGGCUGGUUUCAAGUGACAUGACCUGAGCGGGCUCUUAGCCACGCACAUGCUUGAACUCUGACCCAGGAAAUGCUUGUCAUGGUUUCUACAAACGGCCACAGGAAAUUCCAGAAGGCCUAGAAAGCCUCAACUAUGCAGUCAUAUUUGAG